AACGAACGCUGGCGGCAUGCCUAACACAUGCAAGUCGAACGAGACCUUCGGGUCUAGUGGCGCACGGGUGCGUAACGCGUGGGAACCUGCCCUUAGGUUCGGAAUAACUCCCCGAAAGGGGUGCUAAUACCGGAGAAUGUCUUCGGACCAAAGAUUUAUCGCCUUUGGAUGGGCCCGCGUUGGAUUAGCUAGUUGGUAGGGUAAAAGCCUACCAAGGCGACGAUCCAUAGCUGGUCGGAGAGGAUGAUCAGCCACACUGGGACUGAGACACGGCCCAGACUCCUACGGGAGGCAGCAGUGGGGAAUAUUGGACAAUGGGCGAAAGCCUGAUCCAGCAAUGCCGCGUGAGUGAUGAAGGCCUUAGGGUUGUAAAGCUCUUUUACCCGGGAUGAUAAUGACAGUACCGGGAGAAUAAGCUCCGGCUAACUCCGUG
rnacentral:rRNA from 1 species